GAAGCUGAAAGAGCUAAGCAGCAACUUGCCUAUUUCCUAAAUCAAGAAAAGGAGUUUCUUAAAAGUGAGGCAAAGACCAAGACAACCACAGAAAUGGGUACUGGUAAAUUAAAAGUUAAAGGUGAAGAUUCAAAAUAUAUACUAUUGGAAAAUGAAACAAGAAAAGCAGUAGUGGGAGAUUCAGGUGGACAAAAACAAAUGAUAAAAUUACAUAUCCACAGCUCAGAGAAGGAAAGAGCUAGCCCUGCUAUUUCAGAUCUUUCACAGAUCCUCAAGUCUCAAGAUGGAUCAUCUUUUUAAAGACUCCAAGUGAACGUUUAACUGAUGAAGAUCUAUCCGUAUAGUUUCAUCAAAGAACUAUGAUAAAACAUUCACAACAAUGUUACAGCAUGAAGAAAUUAAAGAUGCACAGUCUGCUGGAAAAUUGCUUCAAGAGAAUGAAAUGUUUGCAUCAUCAUUCAUCUCACCUUCUGUUGUUCAAAGAAGGGUACUGGGUACUGACAUCUCAAAGGUGGCUGAUAUUUUAGAAGAGAAAUUUAAAACUAAGCUUGAAAAACAAACUUACCAAGAAGCAAGAGGGUUUCAAGCUCCUGGUAGAAAAUUAGAUGAAAAUCCUCUGCUUAAGAAUGAAACACCAUCAGAAGCUAAAAACGGUUGUUGA
rnacentral:lncRNA from 1 species